GUCCUAGCGUCGGCUGGACAUAUACUAAAAUUGUAACGAUACAGAGAAGAUUAGCAUGGCCCCUGCGCAAGGAUAUAUUAAACAUUAUGGUAUAUUCUUUAAAGUUAU
rnacentral:snRNA from 1 species